rnacentral:rRNA from 1 species
AUUCAGUCGGCAACGGGUGAGUAACGCGUGGGUGAUCUACCUAUGAGAUGGGGAUAACUAUUAGAAAUAGUAGCUAAUACCGAAUAAGGUCAGUUAAUUUGUUAAUUGAUGAAAGGAAGCCUUUAAAGCUUCGCUUGUAGAUGAGUCUGCGUCUUAUUAGCUAGUUGGUAGGGUAAAUGCCUACCAAGGCAAUGAUAAGUAACCGGCCUGAGAGGGUGAACGGUCACACUGGAGCUGAGAUACGGUCCAGACUCCUACGGGAGGCAGCAGCUAAGAAUCUUCCGCAAUGGGCAAAAGCCUGACGGAGCGACACUGCGUGAAUGAAGAAGGUCGAAAGAUUGUAAAAUUCUUUUAUAAAUGAGGAAUAAGCUUUGUAGGAAAUGACAAAGCGAUGACGUUAAUUUAUGAAUAAGCCCCGGCUAAUUACGUGCCAGCAGCCGCGGUAAUACGUAAGGGGAGGGGGGUUUU